GGAAGGGCCAGGGCUGGUGGUACUCCCAAUACUAGUACGUAGUAAGUCGUAUAAUGAUGCGGACACUAGGAAUGACCUCCCUCCCUUUCAACCAAACCGUCCGCAGGGAAUUCAUUUUGGUAGGCAAGUCUUGCGGAGAUGUAUGACAACUGCGUUAGAGUUUUUUCGUCUCUUCUUCACCUCCGAGAUGAUAAGAUCAGUUGUUGCCCACACCAACAGCUACGCAUACAUGAAACUUGUAGCUGGGGGGUAUACUACAUACACCACUUCGAAGGGGGCUUGGAAAGAAAUGACUGAUGAUGAAAUAAAUAAUUUGAUUGCUCUUUUGAUUUAUUUUGAUCUGGUACGUGUGGACUCAGCCGUUGAAAAGUAUUGGAGCACAAAGACCCUUUACCACGGUCUCUGGGCAAGGAAG